UACGUAGGGCGCAAGCGUUGUCCGGAAUUAUUGGGCGUAAAGGGCUCGUAGGCGGUUUGUCGCGUCGGGAGUGAAAACACACAGCUUAACUGUGUGCUUGCUUCCGAUACGGGCAGACUAGAGGUAUGCAGGGGAGAACGGAAUUCCUGGUGUAGCGGUGAAAUGCGCAGAUAUCAGGAGGAACACCGGUGGCGAAGGCGGUGGUCUGGGCCGGCACUGACGCUGAGGAGCGAAAGCGUGGGUAGCAAACAGG
rnacentral:rRNA from 1 species